GACGUAGGGCGCGAGCGUUGUCCGGAUUUAUUGGGCGUAAAGAGCGUGUAGGCGGCUAUACAGGUCCGUUGUGAAAACUCGAGCUCAACCUCGAGACGCCGAUGGAAACCGUAUGGCUAGAGUCCGGAAGAGGAGAGCGGAAUUCCUGGUGUAGCGGUGAAAUGCGCAGAUAUCAGGAAGAACACCCGUGGCGAAGGCGGCUCUCUGGGACGGUACUGACGCUGAGACGCGAAAGCGUGGGGAGCGAACAGG
rnacentral:rRNA from 1 species